ensembl:lncRNA
AUGUACUCCGAGGAGGACUCGGUGGACGUUCCCAUAGUGACCACCACGUGUGAGGGACAGCUGCUGGUGGCGUUCUACGACGGAAGUCGUCUUGUCAAGGUGUUUGACCUGGCCGCGUCGUGCUCCCUGGUGUGCUGUUUCCACAUAGAGCUGGAGGCCCAGGCCAUUCACAAGGACCGCUCCAUCGUCCUGUCCAGCAACUCCUUCAGGGAUUAUGUCCUCUUCGCCUACAGAUCGGGGACCCAGGCGGCGGUGCUCAGUGCCAGGGGAGGGCAGGUCAGUGCCGUGCUGUCGGCGCAGCACGCCGCCGCCUCCAUACAGGCCGUGGACAUGACCUCCCAGUACCUGCUCCUCUUCUGCAGGUCCUACCCCCCCCCCCCCCCACCCCCCACCCCCCACAUCCCUUCUGCGUCCGUCCCGAUCCACCAACGCGUGAAGCUGUGUUACGUAUGAGUAAAUCAUGAGCAUGCGAGUUAUGCUUUGAGGUCCGAUACCACAGGACUGGUUUCGUUGUAUCCAUGUGUGCGACUGUGAUUGUUUCGCCGUUCGUUCAGUUUAAAAUCAGACUGACAUUCCUUUUGUGUUACCUUUCAACCAUGAUUUGCUCAGGUUCUCACGAUCAACAAACAUGAUCUUUAAGUCUCAAGCGUUCUAUCUGUAGAACGCUUGCCGAAGCAUAAUAUACUGCUCAAACUAACGCAAACAUGUUGGCCUGAUGUCUCAGUCGGUGACUAUUGGUCGGGGGGUAGUGUGAAACCGUACAUAUACAGUAUAUACAUCAAACAAAUAUCUGCUCGAGUCUCAGAAAAUGUUCAGAGACGACCCCUCGUUCUCGCCCUCUGACCGCACACCCAUCAGGUACCCGUACAAGAGAGACGGCGAGAUCCUCCACAUCGAGCUCUUCUGCGCCUCCUCCUUCCUGUACCUGCGCUCCAUCCUCGGCUGCGGCCAGGACCCCGUCUCCCAGGUGGCCGUGAACCGCGCGGGGACGCACGCCGUGGGCUUCUGCCCGUCCGACCGCACGGGCGUCACCGAGGUGGUGACCUGGAACCUGGAGACCGAGGACCACAAGCACGUGGCCCGCAUGGCCGGAGCGCUGGCCACGGGUCAGUGAGCACCCCGGUUUGCGCGGUGCACGGCUUUGGUUUUUGUCCGUAUUCGUGGCGUACUCUUGGGGACGGUCGGAUCGCUGCCUCUUCUGACAUCACAAGUGGGCGUGUCCUCCUAGAUGUGUGACGGAUAGAUGAGCAACGUUUGCUACAGUCCAAUGGGUGGGCUAUUAGACUGAUCAGUCCAGGACAUCUCUAGGUGGACACGCCCCCACUUGUGAUGUCAGAAGAGGCCGAUUUUCAAAACGUCUUGUAGCGGCUAAUCACACUCACACCGUGUCGUAUGUCAUAUGUCACCUUUAAACUGAUAUACUGGAUAAGAUGUUGCAUAAACAUAAUGAAUAUUUGUAACUAUAGUUAUAAAGUGAUGCAAAAGCUGGGAUACUACACAUUCAAUUGAAAUCUGAAAUCUGAAAAGAUGCGUUUGAAAGACGAUCCUAGUAUCUUUGUGUUUGCUGUGUCCGUCUGUCUGACAUGCGGUCCACCUGAACCCAAAGGACUGUGUGGGAACCUGCGCUGCUGUGUGGGCGUGUGCGCCGGAGAGAGGUACCUGAGGCUGUGGGACUUCUCAUCCCGGAUCAACGACCAGAGCCUCACCUACAACGUGCACAAGGCCCGCAGCGACGGCACCAGGGAGGUCGUUCACACGGGUGGAUCCCCAAGGUGGGCGGAAAGGCACACCCCUCAGACAGACUGUACGAUUAUGGUUAGUUUUUCUUCUUGUUGUGUGCAUAGCAAGAUAGCAGCUUCCAAGUCCCAUCCUGCAUCCAGCCAGAUGUUUAGUGAGCACGUUCUGCAGGUGUUCUCAUCUGACGACGUAACACCCGGAAUGGGGUGCUUCACAUAUUUGUUGUUGUUGGUGUAGUCAUGUUCUCAUGACUGGGGAAUACAACUAGUAGGAGAGUGGAUAUUGUGCUGCGAUUGAUUCUGGAUAUCACCACAAUUCGUGACCCUCCAACAGCCUACAGCCAACAGGUAACAUUGGCCCACUGGUUUUGGACGACAAAACAAACGUAGUUUGUGUGCACAUCCCCUGCCGGGACAGGGAACAGGAGAACCGACUGAGACACCGACACCACCUCUAACACAACAGCCAACCAUCCCCCCCUCCCCUGUUCCCCUGGCGCCCUAACGGGUCUGAUCAGUCGCUCCCUGCUGGCAGAUACGCGGUCUGCCAUUCCCUCAGGGCGGGUACUGUGUCCGUGUGGAACCUGGCCCGCCGCCGCCACGCGGGACGUCCCGUCCGCCUGGAGCACAGCCUCUACGGGACCACCGACGUGGCCCUGACCCACGGCCUCAGGCUCUACAUCCUGACGGACCGCGGCACCACCACCUUCACCGACACGCCCACGCCCGUGUUCCAGGUCAGCCGCGCGGCAGCCUGGCGUCCGCGUCACGCCGCGAUGUUUGUUUGUUUUUUAG